rnacentral:rRNA from 1 species
UACGGGGGGGGCGAGGCGUUGUUCGGAAUCACUGGGUGUAAAGAGCGUGUAGGCGGUCCGGUAAGUCAGCUGUGAAAGUCAAGGGCUCAACCCGUUCGAAAGCCCGGUUGAUACUGUCGGGCUAGAGUCCGGAAGAGGCGAGUGGAAUUCCCGGUGUAGCGGUGAAAUGCGCAGAUAUCGGGAGGAACACCAAUGGCGAAGGCAGCUCGCUGGGACGGUACUGACGCUGAGACGCGAAAGCGUGGGGAGCAACAGGG